UUGGAAUGCAAGCGCCCAGAGGAAAGGCCAUGGAGGACACAGGAAGAGCCGCCUUCUGAGAGCCAAGGACAGGGGCCUCGGGAAAACCAGACUUUCUGACACAUUGAUCUUGGGCUGCCAAACUCCAGAACUGCUGGAGCGCCUCCUGUCCCAGAGAAUUUUGAAGCAGCACCAUCCUGCUGUGGCCCUUGGAGUAAUAGUCAGUAAAGAAGGCCACUCCAGACAGGGACGAUCUACAGGUUAUGACAUGGAUUGGAUGUGCCUUGGUGUUGAUCUGCAGGAUCCUUGAGAGCUUCCCAGGUGAGUUUUGGCUGGUCCAAGAGGAACUUCAGUUGCUGGAGACAUUUGUAGGAGUGCUGGGGAGUAAAACCAGGAAAUUCUGAAAAAUGUCAUGGACAACAACAGUGGUACCCAUUCCCAUUCCUACUGAGUCGGCUGAGAAGAGAGAUGAUUGAUACUCUAUUACCAACAGGCUGAAGGCUUAAAAACAGCAAUAACAAAAUUAAAAUAUUUUUUAAAACUCAGCACAAAAUGUAUGUUAUUUUUAAUUUGUUUUAUUAUUGUUACUAUUA